rnacentral:rRNA from 1 species
GACGAACGCUGGCGGCGUGCUUAACACAUGCAAGUCGAACGAAAAGAGGGAAAGAGCUUGCUCUUUCCGGAAUUGAGUGGCAAACGGGUGAGUAACACGUAAAAAACCUGCCUUCAGGAUGGGGACAACAGACGGAAACGACUGCUAAUACCGAAUAAGUUCCAAGAGCCGCAUGGCCCAUGGAAGAAAAGGUGGCCUCUACCUGUAAGCUAUCGCCUGAAGAGGGGUUUGCGUCUGAUUAGCUGGUUGGAGGGGUAACGGCCCACCAAGGCGACGAUCAGUAGCCGGUCUGAGAGGAUGAACGGCCACACUGGAACUGAGACACGGUCCAGACUCCUACGGGAGGCAGCAGUGGGGAAUCUUCCGCAAUGGGCGAAAGCCUGACGGAGCAACGCCGCGUGAGUGAUGACGGCCUUCGGGUUGUAAAACUCUGUGAUCCGGGACGAAAAGGCAGAGUGCGAAGAACAAACUGCAUUGACGGUACCGGAAAAGCAAGCCACGGCUAACUACGUG